GGAGUUACCAUAACGAAAAUAAUCUUCAAGGAGGUUAAAAGUCAGGUACGUGUUUAUUGUUUUCUUAAUCAAUAAAUCGUAAUUCCAUGACCCUUGUUAUAAAGUGAGUGUACGUGUUGAAUGAGUGUUUGAGGACGGGAUUCGACCAUAUUCGACGCUCUGAGUCGAGUUUCAACAGAAAGCGGCGCGUCAACGUAAAGUUUGGUAUAAAAAAUAAUGUUGCUGUGAUCGGUUUUGUGAUAAUUGGUAGCCUGAUAAUCAUAUCACGAUGUCGUCGUUCUUGAUAAGUCUCGUGGCAUGUCUUCUGAUAUUACGUAACGUAUCGGGUGACGUUUGUAUUGCCCCUACCGAUAGCAACAGUGAAUGCCAAUGUGACAGUGCCCCACCGCAGCUGCCAUCGGCGCCUCGAUUUUAUCCUUCAAUUCCUAAUUGUGGAAACUCUAACUGUGAUUCUUGGACGCAGGAAUGUGAUAACUCCACGAUGACUUGUGGAUGUCGAUUUGACCCGAACAAUUCUGAUGAGGAAAACUGUCGAGGUAUCUUGGUAUAAAUCUAUGUAUAGU